rnacentral:misc_RNA from 1 species
GUCACACUUAUUUGUUUGCCCAACAUAUAUAGUACAAUACUCCAAUGGUGACACUUCUUUGUUUGCCCGAUAUUAUACAUCUCAGUUUCUUGGAUGGAAUGGAUCAAAACUGAAUCAUUUGUAGUCCCAUUCCUUGUUUGUUGUCCGACAAAGCUCAGUCCGGUGCAGUUCAGCACAGACUCUCCGCAGCUGAGCAUCACAGACUCCUUAUGCUCCGUUUCGCUUCUCCUUCCUCCAUUCCCA